UUAAGCAUAUCAAUAAGCGGAGGAAAAGAAACCAACCGGGAUUGCCCCAGUAGCGGCGAGUGAAGCGGCAAAAGCUCCAUUUUGAAAGCGCCUCGGCGCGUUGUAGAGCGGUGCGGUCUUAAGGGUGGCGUGGCAGCGAAGUCCCCUGGAACGGGGUGCCAGAGAGGGUGAGAGCCCCGUGCGCUGUGCCAAGCCCAGAAGUCCGUGCCACGGAGUCGAGUUGUUUGGGAAUGCAGCUCUAAGUGGGUGGUAAAUUCCAUCUAAGGCUAAAUACCGGCGAGAGACCGAUAGCGAACAAGUACAGUGAUGGAAAGAUGAAAAGCACUUUGAAAAGAGAGUGAAACAGUACGUGAAAUUGUUGAAAGGGAAGGGUAUUUGGCCCGACAUGGGUCCUGCGCACCGCUGCCUCUUGUGGGCGGCGCUCUGCCGGGGCCUGGGCCAGCAUCAGUUUUCUGGCGGGGAGAAUGCGGCACGAACCACUAUGUGGGGACUGCUGCGAUGCCCGCACGGGGGACUGAGGACUGCCGCAGUAGGAUGCUGGCACAACGGCCAAAUACCGCCCAU
rnacentral:rRNA from 1 species